UACGUAGGGUGCGAGCGUUAAUCGGAAUUACUGGGCGUAAAGCGUGCGCAGGCGGUUUUGUAAGCCAGAUGUGAAAUCCCCGGGCUCAACCUGGGAAUGGCAUUUGGGACUGCAAAGGCUGGAGUACGGCAGAGGAGACUGGAAUUCCUGGUGUAGCAGUGAAAUGCGUAGAUAUCAGGAGGAAUACCGAUGCGAAGGCAGGUCUCUGGGCUGAUACUGACGCUCAUGCACGAAAGCGUGGGGGAGCAAACAAGAUUAGAUACCCCCU
rnacentral:rRNA from 1 species